rnacentral:rRNA from 1 species
GUGAGGAAUAUUGGACAAUGGGCGCAAGCCUGAUCCAGCCAUGCCGCGUGCAGGAAGACGCAUCUAUGGUGUGUAAACUGCUUUUGUACGGGAAGAAACACUCCCUCGUGAGGGAGCUUGACGGUACCGUAAGAAUAAGGAUCGGCUAACUCCGUGCCAGCAGCCGCGGUAAUACGGAGGAUCCAAGCGUUAUCCGGAAUCAUUGGGUUUAAAGGGUCCGUAGGCGGUUUAAUAAGUCAGUGGUGAAAGCCCAUCGCUCAACGAUGGAACGGCCAUUGAUACUGUUAGACUUGAAUUACAAGGAAGUAACUAGAAUAUGUAGUGUAGCGGUGAAAUGCUUAGAUAUUACAUGGCAUACCAAUUGCGAAGGCAGGUUACUACUUGUGGAUUGACGCUGAUGGACGAAAGCGUGGGGAGCGAACAGGAUUAGAAACCCCUGUAGUCC